GUGAGUGGGGUUUGGAGCGGCCUGGCGCGUGUGCUCUGCCCCCUCUCGGCUGCUCCCGAGCGCCGCUGUCUGCACCGCUCCUUACGCGUCCRGAGAGAGCGAGCUGCGGGCAGCGAGACUUCAGGCAAGGAAAAAGAAAAUAAUGGCUGGCAGAAAUACAGGGGGAGGGGGGCAGCCACCACAGCACACCAGAGAAGAGGCUUGAUUUUAUUUCCUCUUGCUGGUGUUACUCAUCUCGCUCUGGCUUGGACCACUAACUCUCCAACGUACUUCCCCUCUCCCUCCGAAGAGAGCUGUAUUCAGAGAAAGGCAAAAACUCAUAAACAUGAUUUAUGUUAAAAUUUUCUUCUGUCUAGAAUUAGGGCAAAUACUUCUGGAAGAGAAGACAACUGAUGGAGUUGCUGGGCGCUGCCUGGAGGGAGGCUGCAGGAGUGAGGGCCAGGGAGUGUAGCUGUGGAGGUUCAGCCGGGGAGGUUCCACGGCGCAUCAUUGAAACCUCCUCCCUCCCCAGGUGGUACAUGGAAUGAGAGGCAUGAAAAAACCAAGACAAAACAAACUACAUGUAAAUACUGUGAAGAGUUUUCUCAGAGGAGAAACAAAAUUAACUGAGAGAAGAAGCAAAUGAUACACACAUAACUGGAAGGGAAACACUCCAUCAUUUAUAAAAUUUUUGCCCAGAGGA